rnacentral:rRNA from 1 species
UACGUAGGUGGCAAGCGUUGUCCGGAUUUACUGGGCGUAAAGGAUGCGUAGGCGGCUACUUAAGUGGGAUGUGAAAUACCCGGGCUCAACUUGGGUGCUGCAUUCCAAACUGGAUAUCUAGAGUGCAGGAGAGGUAAGUGGAAUUCCUAGUGUAGCGGUGAAAUGCGUAGAGAUUAGGAAGAACACCAGUGGCGAAGGCGACUUACUGGACUGUAACUGACACUGAGGCAUGAAAGCGUGGGGAGCAAACAGG